rnacentral:tRNA from 1 species
GCCUGGCUGGCUCAGUUGGUAGAGCACGUGACUCUUGAUCUCAGGGUUGUGAGUUUGAGCCACACACUGGGUG